rnacentral:pre_miRNA from 1 species
UAUAAGGGAUUUUGAGUUUUCGCUUGUAGUGUUUGACCACUCGUCUUAUUCAAAAAAUUUUGGAAUUAUUAUUUAAUUUUUUGUGACUUACUUUAUUAUCUAAAGUACUUUACGCAUAACUUUUCGUUUUUUAUAUUUGCAUAAAUUUUUUGAAUAAGACGAGUGGUCAAACACUAUAAGUAAAAACUCAAAACCCCUUAUA